AUUGAACGCUGGCGGCAGGCUUAACACAUGCAAGUCGAGCGGAGUGAUGGUGCUUGCACUAUCACUUAGCGGCGGACGGGUGAGUAAUGCUUAGGAAUCUGCCUAUUAGUGGGGGACAACAUCUCAAAAGGGAUGCUAAUACCGCAUACGUCCUACGGGAGAAAGCAGGGGAUCACUUGGGACCUUGCGCUAAUAGAUGAGCCUAAGUCGGAUUAGCUAGUUGGUGGGGUAAAGGCCUACCAAGGCGACGAUCUGUAGCGGGUCUGAGAGGAUGAUCCGCCACACUGGGACUGAGACACGGCCCAGACUCCUACGGGAGGCAGCAGUGGGGAAUAUUGGACAAUGGGGGGAACCCUGAUCCAGCCAUGCCGCGUGUGUGAAGAAGGCCUUAUGGUUGUAAAGCACUUUAAGCGAGGAGGAGGCUCUUUUGGUUAAUACCCAAGAUGAGUGGACGUUACUCGCAGAAUAAGCACCGGCUAACUCUGUGCCAGCCGCCGCAGUAAAAC
rnacentral:rRNA from 1 species